rnacentral:rRNA from 1 species
CGCAUCGAUGAAGAACGCAGCGAAUUGCGAUAAGUAAUGUGAAUUGCAGAAAUACGUGAAUCAUCGAAUCUUUGAACGCAUAUUGCACUCUCUGGUAAUCCGGAGAGUAUGCCUGUUUGAGGGUCAGUAAACAAACAUUAUCAUAAAUCAUUGAUUUAUGGAAUUGGGCAUUUAUUUCAAUWUMCAAGAUUUAUUGCCUUAAAUUUACGUCGUUAUGAAAUUCUCUCUAAAUGGAGCAAUUAAACAUUCUCGUUUGGUUGGGACAUUUCAUUUACAAAAACUAUUACGAUUUUCACGCGCAAAGACGCUUUUAACAAAGUGGUCUCAGCUACGAUCGUAAGUUAAUUUAACAAAGACCUCAAAUCAGGCAAGAAUACCCGCUGAACUUAAGCAUAUCAAUAAGCGGAGGAAAAGAAACUAACAAGGAUUCCCCUAGUAACGGCGAGUGAAGAGGGAAGAGCUCAAAUUUUAAAUCUAUCUUGUUCUUCAAGGUCGAGUUGUAAUUUGAAGAAGCGUUUUCUUGGAUUUGCAGCCGGUAGAAGUUCCUUGGAACAGGACAUCAUUGAGGGUGACAAUCCCGUCUGUGACCGGUUGCUCGUUCAUCUAUGAUACGCUUUCAAAGAGUCGAGUUGUUUGGGAUUGCAGCUCCAAAUGGGUGGUAAACAUCACCUAAGGCUAAAUAUUGGCGAGAGACCGAUAGCGAACAAGUACCGUGAGGGAAAGAUGAAAAGAACUUUGAAAAGAGAGUUAAAUAGUACGUGAAAUUGUUGAAAGGGAAACGAUUGAAGUCAGUCGUGCUGGCGCGUAAUCAGCCUACGAUUUGUCAAACAAGUAGUGUGGUGAGCCUCAAAACCGCCAUAUUAUUUGUCUGGUUAAUCGUCGGUGCACUUUCGUGUCGGCUGGUUAACAUCAAUUUCAAAUGUCAUAAAAAGGCUGGGAGGGAUGUGGCUCCUUUCGGGAGUGUUAUAACCUUUAGCGGAAUGUGGUGUUUGGGGAUUGAGGAUUGCAACGAAUACCUUUUAGGGCUGUUCCACCUGGUCUCUCUUUGGCAUCUUGGCGGCGACAGCUUGCUGACGUUGUUAAGAGUUGACAUUGAACAGGCUAGAGUGUGGGCAAAUUCGUUAAGGAUGUUAACGUAAUGGCUUUAAACGACCCGUCUUGAAACACGGACCAAGGAGUCUAACAUAUAUGCGAGUGUUC